GGUGAUGGCGCCGGGGCGGCACGAGAAACCGCUCCGGUGUAAACCACGAGUCCCGUCCAAAGUCGGG
rnacentral:ribozyme from 1 species